CUUUAUUAAAGCUACUAUUUUACAGUUUUACUUUUUACACAAUUUAAAUUAUAACACCCUCAAUCUGCAUGUUCAGUACUUAAUACUUUUAAUACAUUUAUUUUUUUAUACAAAAAUGCAGCUACUACAAAAUAUGUUAAAUGUGGAUAAAGACACUCAUACACAGUAUACAGACACAUUUGCGCCUGUAUAUAUGUCAAGUAAAAGUAAACACAGAGCCUGUGUUGAUGAGAAGUAGGAAGCUGAAACCUAGAAAAACCUCUCUUAUAAUCUCAAGGCAGGAUAAAUAUGAUUACAUUAGAUAAUUGUUACUUUUACUACUGAGAAUGAUCUGGGUACAUCCUCUACUUGUGCCUCUGGCUGAAAAGAUGAAAUAAAUAUGGCCUUUAAGGGUGAAUUAAGGGGCUUUGGUUGCAGGAAAGCUGCUGUUGCUGAAAGGUGUGAGAAUCAUAAACCUUUAUGUACUGAUUGUUCAUGAGUCUCAGUGACAGAUCCAAGAGGAUUAUCAGAGAGAUUAACUAAAUGCAUUAGCAUACAUACUGUAUAUAACAGCCUCUACUGUUAUAUGUGAUCGGAUCAAGAUUCCAUCUAUUCCUCAAACGGGUCAAAGUCUCCCCUCGCUCUCUCCCCCACUGGGCUGUUUGCUGUGCUUACAUCAGGGGGGAGACUGUUGGGAGAAAGGUCUGCAGCAGGAAGUGAGGAGAUACACCUGGAGGCAACAUAAAGGCUGAGUGUGGGAGAUAAACUGAGAGGCUUGAAGAAGAGGUACAGACGGAAAACUUGAGAAGAACUAGAGACAUCUAGAGGAUGAAGUGUGUUUCUGUUGUUGUGUUUGUGAGUCUUCUCUCACUGGGACACGCUGCUCCUCUAAACAGCUGUGAAAGUCUGCUGAAACCAAUAACUAUCAGCAAUGAAGACAUGUUGGGGAGGUGGCUGUACAUCGGGGGGAGCUCUGACCUCCCAGGAAGUCGCUCCCUAGGCCAUCUGAUGAGCAGUGUCUGGUUGGACAUCACUGCAACCCCCCAGAGCAACGUCCUCAAUCUCAUCCAGACUCAGAGAAUACACGAUAAAUGUUCCAGCUUAAUAUACAAUGUGACCUUUGAAAACAGCACUAUGUUGAUUGAGCAACCUUUUUACCUCAAGGAAGUCUACUUGGCAACUAAUGGCUCUGACUGUCUGGUUGCCUAUGAGGAAAUUAUCUCUGGUGAAAACACUUUCACCAGUCUUCUGCUCUUCAGCAGGAGAGAGAGUGUCUCACCUUCUGUUGUGGAGUUGCUCAAGAGACAAGCAGAGUGUCUCCGGAUGCCAUCGCCCAUAAUGAUGGACUCAAACAAUGAAAUCUGCCCAGACAACAUCUCGCCCUCCGAGGGGCUCAGUGCCCUCAACUCCUUGUUAGAGGCCAAGAUGGGACACCAAGUGGCAAGACUCCUGGAUGCUCUUUUUGAUAUGUUUGUCAACUGAUUUAUAAUGAGUUUGGAUCUGUGUCAUUUUGUAUGUGCAAGCAGUUUUUCCUCUGUAUCCCCAUCAGUACUUCAGAAAAUUAAGAUUAAAGAAUUGCCUAUUUUUCUUUUUAUUAUAAUUAAUGCUAGUAGUAGUGCCAUUGUUAUUGUUAUAGGCUGUGUCCUCUAUAAGAUCUUUUCAAAAGCAAGAUGUUUUCUUAUUAACACAAAGCGAAAAUACUGCGACAUAUUAAAAGUCAUACAAUGAGUCAUAACUUCAGUGUCAUUUUCUGUAAACUCGUGUCAGUGUUUACAAUCUGGUGGACAGUUGAGAGAAGAAUGGAAGACGUGAUUCCAUGGCAACCGAACUCUCUGCCAUCAACGUGAACAUUUGAGGUUUUUACUGGAAGCGAUUCCUAAACUAUGAAGACAAUGUUGGAUAAAACACAUAUUGCACAAAUUCAAUGAUGAGUCAAAUCAUAGUUGGGACAAAGAAUUUAUUAAACCAAAGCCCACAUAAAAAAUAGGCUACAACACUGUAAAUAAUUUAGUAAACAGUCCACAAAGGUAAAAAUAAGUAGCUAACAUAGCAUCAACAGUUAUCUAAACAGUAUAUCAAUGAUGGAUAUCUUACUCAGAAUAUGUUAGCUUCAGACUGCUAGUAUAGUGGAUAACUUGGUUAGCAAAAAACAAAAUUAUACUAAAUCAACAAUCACAAAACAGGUAUAAGAAAAAAAAGAAGAAAUAGAAACCAAAGAUAUGAAGGUAUAAUGUGACUAUUGUGACAUACACAUCCAACAGAUAUAGAGCAAUGUUCGUGUUCAUUUGGAGUCAAAGAUCUGGCAAAUUUAAGUCCAAAUUUCACUCUCCUUGUAGCUCUUUUUGGUCUCCACCACUCCUGAGGUGGAUGAAAACGCAGUGGAGCACUGAGCUAUACUAUACACUGGUAACUAUACUAUAUUAACUGUAUAAUACCAUUCACAUCUUCUAAGCUUCUGUUGAGUUACAUACUGUAUAAUAUCAUUACAGAAGACACAUGGUGGAUGCCUGUUCAUACCAUAAUGAAUUAUCAGCUUUUAAUUUAAAGUAAAAACUAAUUGGAAAAUGGUGAGAGUUUGGUUGCUUGUACUCUGAUUUGCUCGUUAUUUUUUGGUUUUACUGCUCUAAUUCCCCAGUUUUUGUAAUUUUUCCAAAGUUUGGAGGCCUAAUUUAGUUUAGAAUAAAAAAAACAUCACCUUUCAACCAGUUUAAAACACAUAUGUUAACAACACAGGACUCCUUGUGGGAUGAGCCUCUGAACUUCAGUGGGAUGAGCCUCUGAACUUCAGUGGGAUGAGCCUCUGAACUUCAGUGCAGCGCUUUAAGCUUGAAGCAGACACAAUCAACUUCCAACUACGAACAGGACAGUACGCUAAAACAACAGAUCUAGGUUCUUUGU
ensembl:lncRNA